rnacentral:rRNA from 1 species
GACGAACGCUGGCGGCGUGCUUAACACAUGCAAGUCGAACGCUGAUCCCCUUUUUUGGGGUGAUGAGUGGCGAACGGGUGAGUAACACGUGGAUAACCUGUCCUUUGCUCUGGGAUAAGCCUUGGAAACGGGGUCUAAUACCGGAUAUGACCAUGUCGCGCAUGUGGUGUGGUGGAAAGUGUUUGCGGCAGGGGGUGGGUCCGCGGCCUAUCAGCUUGUUGGGGGGGUGAUGGCUUACCAAGGCGACGACGGGUAGCCGGCCUGAGGGGGUGUCCGGCCACACUGGGACUGAGACACGGCCCAGACUCCUACGGGAGGCAGCAGUGGGGAAUAUUGCACAAUGGGCGGAAGCCUGAUGCAGCGACGCCGCGUGAGGGAUGACGGCCUUCGGGUUGUAAACCUCUUUCACCCGGGACGAAGGGGUAACUUGACGGUACCGGGGGAAGAAGCACCGGCUGACUACGUGCCAGCAGCCGCCGUAAGAC